rnacentral:misc_RNA from 1 species
GAAAUACAUAGGUGUAGUGUGAUUUAUAAAUUUGUUGCAAAAAGAUUUCCUAGUCAUAUUGGUUGUGAUGUUUUAGCCGUUACAUAUACUAAUUUCAUAUACUAAAUAAUACCUCAUAUAACACAUGGAUUAUUUCUUCUAAUACACUUUACCAGACGAGCCCAAGAGUCUAUAACAAAGAAGUUGCCUCCUUGUGAUCCAAUGGUGGAACAAGCUUCCUAGAAACAGCAUCAUCUAUUUCAGUUAUCACUAUUCUUGAGAAGACCUAUAGUUGUUUGGAAGAUAUCCAUUUUGUAAGCAUGGUUAGACAUUCUAAAGGUUUCCAAAGAGGAGCGACAUGGCCCGAUCCCUUCACGGUAGCAAAUGUCAAAUUAUUAGAGUAAGUCUUCGUGUAGCCAGCAACUUGGCCAUUUACAAUCCAUUUUCGCCAAUCAUCAAUAACUGAGUAGUUUAGCGAUUCAAUCCAUGCUUCAGUUGAAAUAAAAGGAAUAGUCAAAUCAUGAUCACCACUGUAUAU